GAUGAACGCUAGCUACAGGCUUAACACAUGCAAGUCGAGGGAACGGCGCACGGGUGAGUAACACGUAUCCAACCUGCCCUUUACUCGGGGAUAGCCUUUCGAAAGAAAGAUUAAUACCCGAUAUAAAGGAUGGGGAUGCGUUCCAUUAGGUUGUUGGUUAGGUAACGGCUAACCAAGCAUUCGAUGGAUAGGGGUUCUGAGAGGAAGGUCCCCUACAUGUGAACUACGACCCGGUCCACACUCGUACGGGAGGCAGCAGUUAGUAAUAUUGGUUAAUGGGCGCUAGCCGGAACCAGCCAAGUAGCGUGAAGGAUGUAUGCUUAUGGGUCGUAAACUUCUUUUAUAGAAGAAUAUGUAUUAUAUGAAUAAGGAUCGGCUAACUCCGUGCCAGCCGCCGCGGUAAUAC
rnacentral:rRNA from 1 species